rfam:Picea glauca, whole genome shotgun sequence.
GGUAGAGGAUGAGAGGUAAGCCCUCGCAUCAAUGCGAGAAGGGCGUUCGCCCCAAUAUUACCUUGUUACGCUUAAUGGGCGCCCCCAUUUUACCAAUCUGAUACC